AGAGUUUGAUCCUGGCUCAGGAUGAACGCUAGCGGCAGGCUUAAUACAUGCAAGUCGUGGGGCAGCAUGGUGUAGCAAUACACUGAUGGCGACCGGCAAACGGGUGCGGAACACGUACGCAACCUUCCUUUAACUGGAGAAUAGCCCGGGGAAACCCGGAUUAAUACUCCGUAACAUUAUGAAGUGGCAUCACUUUAUAAUUAUAGCUCCGGCGGUUAAAGAUGGGCGUGCGCCUGAUUAGGUAGUUGGCGGGGUAACGGCCCACCAAGCCUACGAUCAGUAACUGGUGUGAGAGCACGACCAGUCACACGGGCACUGAGACACGGGCCCGACUCCUACGGGAGGCAGCAGUAAGGAAUAUUGGUCAAUGGACGCAAGUCUGAACCAGCCAUGCCGCGUGGAGGAUGAAGGUCCUCUGGAUUGUAAACUUCUUUUAUUUGGGAAGAAACCCCCGAUUUCUAUUGGGGUUGACGGUACCAGAUGAAUAAGCACCGGCUAACUCCGUGCCAGCAGCCGCGGUAAUACGGAGGGUGCAAGCGUUAUCCGGAUUCACUGGGUUUAAAGGGUGCGUAGGCGGGUUGGUAAGUCCGUGGUGAAAUCUCCAAGCUUAACUUGGAAACUGCCGUGGAUACUAUCAAUCUUGAAUUUAGUGGAGGUGAGCGGAAUAUGUCAUGUAGCGGUGAAAUGCUUAGAUAUGACAUAGAACACCCAUUGCGAAGGCAGCUCGCUACACUAUUAUUGACGCUGAGGCACGAAAGCGUGGGGAUCAAACAGGAUUAGAUACCCCCGUAGUCC
rnacentral:rRNA from 1 species